UUAACCCUAUAGACACCCACACGGCCACACCACACGCAGUCACUGGCAAACACAUCUACUGUUUCGGCAUCGAUAAUAUUCACUUCCCGCUGGCCGCCGCACACACACACAAACACACCAACGCCGACGAUGCAACCAUGGGGUUAACUUCUAAUCAAUGGUUCUCUGCACGCUGGGUCAUAAGGAAGACCUUUUGGAGCUACAGGAUGAGGAGCUGGCUUCCACCAUGAGAGAACAAAUAAAGCGAGCAUUGUAAUUUUGGGAAAGAAAUUGGCUUUCUGUUGUACCCCUUAAAAUAAAAUGCCUCGCUCAGGAACCGGAGAGAUUUAUGUGGGCGUUGAGUAUGGCACAAUCUCGAUGUAUCAGCAAGCAAAUAAGAAUUGGCGCCCUAAUUCAGGAUACAAAUAUGUUAGUUCCUUAUACUGGUCAGUACGUCCUGAUAUAUAUAUAUAUAUGUAUGUAUUUCACACUGAUCAAUACUCCUUCCGUCGCCUUACAAUGUGCUCAUUUUUCAUUUGGGAUUUUCAUAAAAAAAAAUAUUCUUGUUUCUCUUUUUAAUAAAAAAUUAUAUUACUUUUUGUAUUUUCUUGCUAUAAAAAGAAAAAAGUAACAAAAAAUACACACCUCAUAUUGAAACCCAUAUCCGAAAGUUUGAGCACAUUUUUUGGGGAUGGAGGAAGUAUUUGAUUUUCUAUUCAUGUUUGGCUUGUUUAGGUGUUGUUCACCCUUGGGGUGUGUUUGGUUCAACGUUCAACAAAGGGAAAGAAGGGGGGGGGGGAAAUGAAAAUUGUAGUAGUGUAUUGGUUCAUAUGGAAUGAAGAAAAGGGGAGGGGUGGGGGAGAUAACUAGUAAUUUUGCAUUUGAUUAAGGAAUUGAGGUGAAGGAAAAUAAAUUAUUUUCCAAUUGUACUACUAUAUUACUGGGAAAAACCAUAAACAAAAAGCUACAAUUUAGGUGAGUUUAUUUUACUAUAUUGCUAGGGAGAUCUUUAUUGAUAGUAAAUGGUUGACUUUAUGGUUCUGAUUAUGUCGCAGUGCUGGGACAAUUGAGGUUAUUUUGGUCAACCAAUGGGAAUAUAUGUAGUUAUUUUUUAUUAAAAGUUAUUGUGUUAUGUCUUUUUCUAUAAGAGCUUUUGGCUAUUCUGUUAUGUUGUUGGGUUCAAUAGAAUGAUGUGUGUCAAAUGACGACAUGCGACUUCGAAAAAGUAUACAAUCUUCUUGGGACUUUUCUAGUGUUAAGCGACUCUGUAUUUUAAAGCGACUCUAGUGUGAGCUCAAAGCUGGUUUCCCAAAAUGUAUUUUGUUAUUAUUAUUUUUCCUUAUUUUUCUUUACAUGAUUUAAUCCGCAUUGGUGUCCCCAAAAUGUACUUUAGCCUCUUUUAAAUAAUAUGAUGUGGGUUGAUUCUCUGGGUGCACUAUUUUGGAAUUUGAUUAUAUGUUCUUUUACUAUGCAACUAUCAUGAUUCUUAUCAAAAGACAAUCAAACUCUAAAUGAGCACACUCUAUUUCUUGGUUAUAUAUAUAUAUGUGCACAUUCUGAUAUGUCUUGUAUAUAGUAGUGGGCAUAGUAGUUUUGAAAAUGAGAUUCACCAUCCUGCUCCGGUUCAGAAGAAAACUGACUCUAUGUUGAAUCUAAUGUUACGAGAAGUAAAUUGAGAAUUAAAUGUGUUGCUCGUAAAACAGACUAUUUAGAUGCUUUGAUGGAUAUUGCAGAGGACAUAUUGCAUGCAGUAAGUAUUACAGAUGACUCAUGUUAAACAUUAACUUUUGUUCUUUUUUUAAGUGGUAAGACACAUUCUUACUAUGCUACUUGCUGUAGGUUCUCUUUCUUAGACCUAAUUGAUAUCUGUCAAGCAGCAGGGGUUUGCAGACAAUGGAGACACAAGUUGUUUUGAAGACUUCUUAUGGUUUUUAAAUUUUGAGAAUAAAGCGAUGUUUAUCAAACGAUGUAAGUGUAGUUCAAUUGUGAUAUGCUAUUUGUUCAAACGAUUUUUUUAUCCAUUAUAUGACAUUUUGAUAUAAAUAUGGAUUCAAAGUUCUUUCUGCCUACAUUUUAGAUAUGUGAAAUAUCAUCAAGUAUAAUCCAACUAUUAUUCUGCUUAAAGCCUUUUCAUUCUUACAUGCAUGUGUUGAUUCUCUUGUCCCAGAGAGUUAAGAACUUACUUUUAACUUUGUUCUUUCAUUUAGUUGAAACCAUGUGUGAUCGAUAUCCAAACACUACAAGUGUGAAUGUCUAUGGUGCUCCAGAAUUGACCUUCUUAGAAUAAAAACAUUAGCCUUAUUGAGGUAUAUACAAUAUGCAUUUUUUUAAGAUGGUUCAACUGUGGUAGUCUUAUAUUAUAUUUAUGAACCUCUUAUUUAUCCUAGAAAUCUUGAGAGUUUAACUCUGGGCAAAAGCUAGUUGCCAGAGGCAUUUUUCCAAGUCUUAAUUGAUUGCCAUAUGUUGAAUAAAUUAGUUACAUUUCACAUGAUAGAUUAGUUGAGCUUCACAUACAGAGAUGUCCGCGCUGCAUAUUUGUCAGGUACAAAGUUUACCAUUUUUGUCGCAUUUUGUCCUAUUGUAUUGUUUUUCAACUGCGUUAAUUAUAUUUAUGGUCUUCUUCAAAUGUUCACACCUUGAAACUUUGUCUCUCAGACGUAGUAGCAUGUCUCAUGUAAUACUCAAUUGUCGCAUUUUGCAAGAACUUGAUAUCACUUCCUGUCAAAAGCUUUUUGAUGGUGCAAUUUGUUCAUUAGCAAAAUCCUCCCCAUGAAUGGAAUCCUUGGAUAUGUCAAAUUUUUUUCAAACUGAACCUAACGGAGUAAGGAAGAAAGUGGCUCUUCAUACCAAAAGAUACACACUGGUGAUGAGAUCCAGCUUAUGAGGAAAAGGUCCUAAAGCAGCUUAAUAAUAGCGUACAAGAGGCUUAUAACAAGUGGAUGAGCAAUCCAAGAAAUGCGCGGGAUAGAACCUUGCACUUGGUUUAUUUUAUGUUAUCGUAUGAUAUUGGGAACAAAGUUUAUUUAGUAUUCUAUUGUGUUUACUUUUUGGAUUGUUGUUGGGAUGACUUUAUAUUAUUAGUUUGUUAUUUUUUGGGACAAGUGUAUGAAUGUAAAAUGAAUCUAUAUUGUUAGUUUAUAAUUGUUUGGAAUAGACAUUGGAAUUCGAAAUGAA